GUGGGGAAUCUUGCGCAAUGGGGGAAAGCCUGACGCAGCCAUGCCGCGUGAAUGAUGAAGGUCUUAGGAUUGUAAAAUUCUUUCACCGGGGACGAUAAUGACGGUACCCGGAGAAGAAGCUCCGGCUAACUUCGUGCCAGCAGCCGCGGUAAUACGAAGGGGGCUAGCGUUGCUCGGAAUUACUGGGCGUAAAGGGCGCGUAGGCGGACAGCUUAGUCAGAGGUGAAAGCCCAGGGCUCAACCUUGGAAUUGCCUUUGAUACUGGCUGUCUUGAGUUUGGGAGAGGUGAGUGGAACUCCGAGUGUAGAGGUGAAAUUCGUAGAUAUUCGGAAGAACACCAGUGGCGAAGGCGACUCACUGGCCCAAUACUGACGCUGAGGCGCGAAAGCGUGGGGAGCAAACAGGAUUAGAUACCCCAGUAGUCC
rnacentral:rRNA from 1 species